AUCCAGCUCCCCACGUGUACAGACCCACAUCUCAGCUAUUAACAGAAGGCGCCCUAUUGCCCGAGAGUGAAGAUACAGGAGGUAAAUGCCACGGGCCACCCUAUGGUUUAACCUGCGGGAUCACGGAGAAGACAUGAGAAAGCAGCUCCCGUAUGCAGACAG